UUGGAAAAAAUUAGUUCUCUUUCGAAAUUUUUAGUCAAAUAUUUGUAUAAACAAUUUUGUUUGAAAACAACUUAUCCACUGUUUUUUUAGAAACGUUGAUUAAGAACGAAAUAAAUGAAAGCUAUAGAGAAUAAAGGAUUAGAUGGAGCCUGUGAGUCGAGGCGUGCGAUUGCACUGUCCUAGAAGCAAGAUUGCCCCUCCACGUACGAGGCGCCGGCAAUCACUCCUAGCGAUACAACGACCUUCGUCCACCCCGUCGGCACGGCUUCAGGGUGGCGCAAGAACGAACCGUCACAGAGCAAGUGAGGGUCUCUUUCCAAUGUGGGACUAAACACCACAUAAAAAGAGACCAAAGCUUGGGCUCCCAGGCAAGGCCCAUUGACAGUGGGCUGCCCACAA
rnacentral:lncRNA from 1 species